AUUGAACGCUGGCGGCAGGCCUAACACAUGCAAGUCGAACGAGUGGCGGACGGGUGAGUAAUGUCUGGGAAACUGCCUGAUGGAGGGGGAUAACUACUGGAAACGGUAGCUAAUACCGCAUACCAUCAGAUGUGCCCAGAGGGGAUUAGCUUGUGGGUGGGGUAACGGCUAACCAAGGCGACGAUCCCUAGCUGGUCUGACAGGAUGACCAUCCACACUGUAACUGAGACACGGUCCAGAUGCCUCCGGGACGCAGCAGUGGGGAAUAUUGCCCAAUGGGCGAAAGCCUGAUGCAGCCAGGCCGCGUGUAUGAAGAAGGCCUUCGGGUUGUAAAGUACUUUCAGCGGGGCGGCGUUACCCGCAGAAGAAGCACCGGCUAACUCCGUGCCAGCCGCCGCGGUAAUAC
rnacentral:rRNA from 1 species